GCUAGGAGCACUGGCACACACUUGUAGUCCCAGUUACCUGGGAGGUGAAGGCAGAAAAAUGGAUAGAAUCCAGAAGUUCUGGACUGUAGUACAUUAUGCCCAGUAAACCUCCACGAUUAGUUUGGUAUCAACACCCCUGGGAACAGGACACCACCAGGUUGCCUAAGGAGGGGUGAACCACCCAGGUUGGAAACAGAGCAGGUCAAAACACAGAUCAGUAGUGGGAUUGCACCUGGGAACAGCCACUGCACUCCAGCUUGAGCCACAUAGUGAGACCCUGUCUCUU
rfam:Pan troglodytes isolate Yerkes chimp pedigree #C0471 (Clint) chromosome 5, whole genome shotgun sequence.